rnacentral:rRNA from 1 species
AUUGAACGCUGGCGGCAGGCCUAACACAUGCAAGUCGAACGAGUGGCGGACGGGUGAGUAAUGUCUGGGAAACUGCCUGAUGGAGGGGGAUAACUACUGGAAACGGUAGCUAAUACCGCAUACUAUCAGAUCUGCCCAGAUGGGAUUAGCUGGUGGGUGGGGUAACGGCUCACAAAGGCGACGAUCCCUAGCUGGUCUGAGGGGAUGACCAGCCAUACUGGAACGUAGACACGGUCCAGACUCCUACGGGAGGCAGCAGUGGGGAAUUUUGCACAAUGGGCGAAAGCCUUAUCCAGCCAUGCCGCUUGUAUGAAGCAGGCCUUCGGGUUGUAAAUUACUUUCGGCUGGGAGGCGUUACCCGCAGAAGAAGCACCGGCUAACUCCGUGCCAGCAGCCGCGGUAAUUC